CAAGAGAAAAGUGUGAAAAUUCAAGGAAACAAGUGAAAAAAGGUGGUGAAUCCUCCGAUAAGGGCAAAGAAAUUGUACUUGAGGGUCGAUAGUCGGAGUACUCUAAAAAUUCGACUCCCGAAAUAGCUCAGAAUAGGCUGUAGAUAGCUGAUAUCGUCGGAGGCUA